rnacentral:rRNA from 1 species
UGCAGUCGAGCGCAGGAAGCAAGCUGAUCCCCUUCGGGGGUGACGCUUGUGGAAUGAGCGGCGGACGGGUGAGUAACACGUGGGCAACCUGCCUGUAAGACUGGGAUAACCCCGGGAAACCGGGGCUAAUACCGGAUAAUACUUUCUUUUGCAUAAAGGAAAGUUGAAAGGCGGCUUCGGCUGUCACUUACAGAUGGGCCCGCGGCGCAUUAGCUAGUUGGUGAGGUAACGGCUCACCAAGGCGACGAUGCGUAGCCGACCUGAGAGGGUGAUCGGCCACACUGGGACUGAGACACGGCCCAGACUCCUACGGGAGGCAGCAGUAGGGAAUCUUCCGCAAUGGACGAAAGUCUGACGGAGCAACGCCGCGUGAGUGAUGAAGGUUUUCGGAUCGUAAAACUCUGUUGUUAGGGAAGAACAAGUUGGGUAGUAACUGACCCAACCUUGACGGUACCUAACCAGAAAGCCACGGCUAACUACGUGCCAGCAGCCGCGGUAAUACGUAGGUGGCAAGCGUUGUCCGGAAUUAUUGGGCGUAAAGCGCUCGCAGGCGGUCCUUUAAGUCUGAUGUGAAAUCUCGCGGCUCAACCGCGAACGGUCAUUGGAAACUGGAGGACUUGAGUACAGAAGAGGAGAGUGGAAUUCCACGUGUAGCGGUGAAAUGCGUAGAGAUGUGGAGGAACACCAGUGGCGAAGGCGACUCUCUGGUCUGUAACUGACGCUGAGGAGC